AUCUAUCGUCUAGCAGCAAAAACAAAGGGUGUUUUCAUAAAUCCAGCCUUCAUUGAGCCAUUUGGACUUACUUUAAUUGAGGCAGCAGCUUAUGGAUUACCUACUGUUGCCACCAAAAACGGGGGUCCUGUGGAUAUUCUUAGGGUUCUUGACAAUGGUCUACUGGUUGACCCCCAUGAUCAACAAGCAAUUUCGGAUGCCCUUCUGAAGCUUGUUUCAGAUAAGCAACUGUGGGCAAGAUGUAGGCAGAAUGGACUUAAAAAUAUUCACCUUUUCUCGUGGCUAGAGCACUGUAAGACAUACCUAACUCGAAUUGCCAGUUGCAAACAACGACAACCUCAGU